AGAGUUUGAUCCUGGCUCAGAACGAACGCUGGCGGCGUGCUUAACACAUGCAAGUCGAACGGGAUCCAGAGCUUGCUCUGGUGAGAGUGGCGCACGGGUGAGUAACGCGUGGAUAACCUGCCCUGGUAUCUGGAAUAACAUCUCGAAAGGGGUGCUAAUACCGGAUAAGCCCACGGGGUCCUCGGACUCUGCGGGAAAAGGUGGCCUCUGAAUAUGCUACCGUAUCAGGAUGGGUCCGCGUACCAUUAGCUAGUUGGUAGGGUAAUGGCCUACCAAGGCUACGAUGGUUAGCUGGUCUGAGAGGAUGAUCAGCCACACUGGAACUGAGACACGGUCCAGACUCCUACGGGAGGCAGCAGUGGGGAAUUUUGCGCAAUGGGGGAAACCCUGACGCAGCAACGCCGCGUGAGUGAUGAAGGCUUUCGGGUCGUAAAGCUCUGUCAGUAGGGAAGAAGUGUAAGGGUGCUAAUACCAUCUUUACUUGACGGUACCUACAAAGGAAGCACCGGCUAACUCCGUGCCAGCAGCCGCGGUAAUACAGAGGGGGCAAGCGUUAUUCGGAAUUAUUGGGCGUAAAGGGCGCGUAGGCGGUUUUUUAAGUCAGAUGUGUAAUCCCCGAGCUCAACUUGGGAACUGCAUCUGAGACUGGAAGGCUAGAGUACUGGAGAGGGUGGUAGAAUUCCACGUGUAGCGGUGAAAUGCGUAGAGAUGUGGAGGAAUACCAGUGGCGAAGGCGGCCACCUGGACAGUAACUGACGCUGAGGCGCGAAAGUGUGGGUAGCAAACAGGAUUAGAUACCCUGGUAGUCC
rnacentral:rRNA from 1 species